rfam:Schistosoma rodhaini strain Burundi genome assembly, scaffold: SROB_scaffold0005624
AUCCAGAUGACGAGUCCCAUAUAGGACGAAACGCGAGUCAAACUGGAU